AUACGGAGGGGGUUAGCGUUGUUCGGAAUUACUGGGCGUAAAGCGCACGUAGGCGGACUGAUCAGUUAGAGGUGAAAUCCCAGGGCUCAACCCUGGAACUGCCUUUAAUACUGUCAGUCUAGAGAUCGAGAGAGGUGAGUGGAAUUCCAAGUGUAGAGGUGAAAUUCGUAGAUAUUUGGAGGAACACCAGUGGCGAAGGCGGCUCACUGGCUCGAUACUGACGCUGAGGUGCGAAAGCGUGGGGAGCAAACAGGAUUAGAAACCCUAGUAGUCC
rnacentral:rRNA from 1 species